AUUUCUCACUGUGAGUCUACUUUUACUUAAAGGGACACUGUAGGCACCCAGACCACUUCAGCUCACUGAAGUGGUCUGGGUGCAGUGUCGCAGGUCCUUUAACCUUGCAACGGUAAUUAUUGCAGUUUUUUAAGAAACUGCAAUAAUUACCUUUCAAGGUUAACUCCACCUCUAGUGGCUGUCUACCAGACUGCUACUACAGGGACUUCUUAGCUGAUGGAUGUCCUCACAGUAUGCAUGGGGACAUCCAGCGUAAUCUAGAACACCAUAGGAAAGUAUUGUAUAAUGCUUUCCUAUGGGGAAAUCCUAAUGCGAGCGUGGCCAUUGCCUCGCAUGUGCAUUAGGUCUCCCUGCAGGCUGACCUUAGCGGGAGAUGAGCGAAGGCGAGCUGGAGCCAGUCCCAGGUAAGUGACAGAAGGGGUUUUUAUCACCACCUGCACCACGGAGAAAGGGGGGCCUUGGCAGAGGUUGAAGUUUGUUUUCCUGGUACUAUUAUUUCCCUUUAAUGUGUCUUUCUCUGCAGUUCAGUGAAUAAAACUCUGAGGGAAUGUAGUUGCAUUCAUGAGGGGAUGGCAAAAUGGAUUGUUGCCUAGGGCGGCAAGAAUCCUUGCACCGGCCCUGAC